GAAUGCUGACAUAAGUAACGAUAAAGCGGGUGAAAAGCCCGCUCGCCGGAAGACCAAGGGUUCCUGUCCAACGUUAAUCGGGGCAGGGUGAGUCGACCCCUAAGGCGAGGCCGAAAGGCGUAGUCGAUGGGAAACGGGUUAAUAUUCCCGUACUUGGUGUUACUGCGAAGGGGGGACGGAGAAGGCUAUGUUGGCCGGGCGACGGUUGUCCCGGUUUAAGCGUGUAGGUGUGUGUUCCAGGUAAAUCCGGUUCACUUUAACACUGAGGCGUGAUGACGAGGCACUACGGUGCUGAAGCAACAAAUGCCCUGCUUCCAGGAAAAGCCUCUAAGCAUCAGGUAACAUCAAAUCGUACCCCAAACCGACACAGGUGGUCAGGUAGAGAAUACCAAGGCGCUUGAGAGAACUCGGGUGAAGGAACUAGGCAAAAUGGUGCCGUAACUUCGGGAGAAGGCACGCUGACACGUAGGUGAAGUGAUUUACUCAUGGAGCUGAAGUCAGUCGAAGAUACCAGCUGGCUGCAACUGUUUAUUAAAAACACAGCACUGUGCAAACACGAAAGUGGACGUAUACGGUGUGACGCCUGCCCGGUGCCGGAAGGUUAAUUGAUGGGGUCAGCGCAAGCGAAGCUCCUGAUCGAAGCCCCGGUAAACGGCGGCCGUAACUAUAACGGUCCUAAGGUAGCGAAAUUCCUUGUCGGGUAAGUUCCGACCUGCACGAAUGGCGUAAUGAUGGCCAGGCUGUCUCCACCCGAGACUCAGUGAAAUUGAACUCGCUGUGAAGAUGCAGUGUACCCGCGGCAAGACGGAAAGACCCCGUGAACCUUUACUAUAGCUUGACACUGAACAUUGAGCCUUGAUGUGUAGGAUAGGUGGGAGGCUUUGAAGUGUGGACGCCAGUCUGCAUGGAGCCGGCCUUGAAAUACCACCCUUUAAUGUUUGAUGUUCUAACGUGGACCCGUGAUCCGGGUUGCGGACAGUGUCUGGUGGGUAGUUUGACUGGGGCGGUCUCCUCCUAAAGAGUAACGGAGGAGCACGAAGGUUGGCUAAUCCUGGUCGGACAUCAGGAGGUUAGUGCAAUGGCAUAAGCCAGCUUGACUGCGAGCGUGACGGCGCGAGCAGGUGCGAAAGCAGGUCAUAGUGAUCCGGUGGUUCUGAAUGGAAGGGCCAUCGCUCAACGGAUAAAAGGUACUCCGGGGAUAACAGGCUGAUACCGCCCAAGAGUUCAUAUCGACGGCGGUGUUUGGCACCUCGAUGUCGGCUCAUCACAUCCUGGGGCUGAAGUAGGUCCCAAGGGUAUGGCUGUUCGCCAUUUAAAGUGGUACGCGAGCUGGGUUUAGAACGUCGUGAGACAGUUCGGUCCCUAUCUGCCGUGGGCGCUGGAGAACUGAGGGGGGCUGCUCCUAGUACGAGAGGACCGGAGUGGACGCAUCACUGGUGUUCGGGUUGUCAUGCCAAUGGCACUGCCCGGUAGCUAAAUGCGGAAGAGAUAAGUGCUGAAAGCAUCUAAGCACGAAACUUGCCCCGAGAUGAGUUCUCCCUGAGACUUAGAGUCUCCUGAAGGAACGUUGAAGACGACGACGUUGAUAGGCCGGGUGUGUAAGCGCAGCGAUGCGUUGAGCUAACCGGUACUAAUGAACCGUGAGGCUUAACCUU
rnacentral:rRNA from 2 species